UCCACUUUCGUUUUAUGAAUUGAUAUUUGAGAUGAUGGAUAAACAAUUAUCAAACCCUCCACUUUCGUUUCCACAGUUUGAUAAUGGUUGAUCCAUGUUAAAGCGGUGAAUUUAGAUAAUAAAUUAGGGUUACAUAAGAUUAAGGCUUAGAGCUUGGCUUGAUUAGGAUUAUGUCAUUUAGACUUAUCCAACAAUCCCAAGACAAAGAGAAGUCUACUCACUCAUGUUCAUCGUAGACAUGGGGAAGAAGAGUGAAAGAAUAAAAGUAAAUGACAAGAAAAUAAAGGAAAAGAAAAGAACUUUUAUUAGAAAAGCAAUUGUCACUUAUUGAAUUCCAAGAAAAGAUGAAUAUUUUUUAUGGAUAGCUACUCUAUUUAUAGCAUACAUUCGACUUAAAAUCUAAGCAAUUACAUUACUGGAAUGUUCCACAAGAAACUGCGGGCUAAAAUAGAGUAGCUUAAAAUCUAAGCAAAAGUAGCAAAAGUUACUCUGGAGGGUGGCACGGCCGUGCCAAUGCUAGCACGGGCCGUGCCAAUGCUAGCACGGGCCGUGCCAAGCUCCAAGUCCCUUUCUUUUGCUCCAAGACUCAAUCCAUCCAAUAUUCGUUCCUGAAAUAUAAUAAAGUGCAAUUUGUAGUAAACUAACUCAAAAAGGGAAUAAUACUAAUAUAAAAUAAAAUAAAAUCCAUUUAAAAUUAAACUAAAUAACAUAUAAAAAUAAAUAUUAAAUGACUCAUCAGAGAUAUGAUUGGUUGGCACCUAAUUCGCAGCUCCUAUCCUGUGGAGAACGGCAUACUUCACACUUAACUUGUUUGAGGCCAAGUUACAUUUGAUAGGCCAUUUUUUGACUUGAUUUGCUGUAAUUUCCUGGCAAAUAUCAUUAUCAGUGAUUUCCACUUCAGCAUGUUCUUCCUCACUGCUGCCUAAAACUCUAUUAAUUAUCUCAGGGGAGAAUUCUACACACUUUCCUCAGACAAAUACUUUCCUGUACUCAGUGCUUAGGGUAUUGUCACAAUCCUUAGGAAUGUUGACUAUGAAUUCUUUCACCAGCAAUUCAUAACAAUUGCCAAAGCCACAUACACUUUUAUUAAUCCAGCUUUAUCAACGAGUUUCAUGAUUUGCUCGCACUCUAGCGCAUCCUUUCCCAAUUCUCUUUCCAAUUCCAAUCUCCUUUGACAUAUGUACUUCCAUUUUAGAGCGUUGGCCCCAUGAUGGAAGGAUGUAUUAUCUGUAGGUGUCUCAUUAACAUUUGCUGGAAUCUUCUUCCCAGACGUUCUCCUUUUACCUAAAGGCAUGAUGUCCUGAACAUCUUGUUCAACAUCAUACUCAGAAUUUGAGGAUGAUACUUCCUUUCUUUACAGAGACCUUUUCUUUUUAUUAGAAGAGAUGACCUUACUGCAGCUUUUAGCAGGUCCCACAGUCACCUUCCUUUUAGCAUCCUUAGUGGGUUGACUUUCAACCAUGGUAGACUUUCCUUUCCUCUUUCAGUCUUCUGGCAACAGUCAUUUCAGCCAGAGGUAUUUCAUCUUCUUCACUUAUUCGCCAAUCAAAUAUUCACCAAUUGUAACACCCUAUUUUAUUAUUUAUUUAUUUUAUUGAGUUUAGAUGUCUUUUUAUAAUGGCUUAAUUGCACUUUUAGACCCCUAUCUUUCCAAAAGUUGCGGUUAUGGACCCCUAACUAAUUUAAAUACAAAACAGCCCCCUAUGUUUUGAUUCUUUGGUAGUUUUGGACCUCCAAGGCAAAAAAAAUAAAAAAUUUGACACGUGGCACCUCACUUAGGGUGCCACGUCAGCGUUGACCGAGUCAACAAUGGACCGGGGGUCCAAAACUGCCAAAGAAUCAAAACAUAGGGGGCUGUUUUGUAUUUAAAUUAGUUAGGGAUCCAUAACCGCAACUUUUGGAAAGAUAGGAGUCCAAAAGUGCAAUUAAGCCUUUUAUAAUUUAGUCGAUUUGUUUUGAUGAGUGAUAUUUUAUUAUGUUAUAUGUUGGUAUUUAUUAGUAUAUAUAUAUAUAUAUAUAUAUAUAUAUAUAUAUAUAUAUUAUUUGGUGUAGAAAUAUAUGUUAUUUUGUGUAGAAAUAUUAUGUUAUUUGGUGUAGAAAUAUAUGUUAUUUUGUGUAGAAAUAUAUGUUAUCUGGUGUAGAAAUAUAUUUCUUAUUUGGUGUAGAAAUAUAUAUAUGUUAUAGAAAUAUAUUUGUUAUAGAGAUAUAUUUGUUAUUCGUUACAGAAAUAUUAUAUAUAUAUAUAUAUAUAUAUAUAUAUAUAUAUAUAUAUAUAUUAGAAUAGAAUAUUGAGACUUAGAUGACAGAUUUGUAAAUAAGAGAAAAUAAGUAGGUUAAUGAUUUAUAUAAAAAGGGAGAAAACAAGAGAAGAACCAAGAGAAGAGAUAAGUGAGAGGAGAGAAGAAUCUUGUGAGAAGAAGAUCAAUCUUGUAGAGUCCGACCAUCUAAUUUAAGGUAAGAGUGGGAUUAACUUUCUCUAAUUCUAAGUGGUAUAAUUUUUUACAAGUAGUGGGAGGUAGUUUUGAGGAGUUGAGAACUAGGUUAAAAUUGGAGAAUUGAUUAAUUGAGAAGACUAAACGGUUAAAUUGAUGUAGAAAUAGUAUCCUGACCUUAGACUAUUCGUAGAACAAAGUUUAGAAUUAGUUUUAAGGUUCUUGUAAUUUAAAUGCCACACGAUUUUGGAUUUCAUGUGCAUAUGGUAUAAGUUUUCUGUUUACAGCGUCCUUUUCUUCAAUUAUACCUAUAGAAAUAUAUAUUAGAACAUAAUCCCAUGAUUCAUAUGUAUAUGUAUGUUUAUUGAUUUCAAAAUUAUUGAUUCCGAUGUUUUCAAAAUUUAGGAACACUAAUAUGUGAGUUUCCUUAAUUUCUAAGAAUGAAUUGAUUGAAAAGUACUUGAGUAAUUAUACUACAUCAUGAUGCUGUCCAAAAUAAGCUAUAAAUGAGGCAACUUGAAUUCUAUAGAUGAAUUUACGUGUGCUACCAUGUGACUUCUUUCAAAUCGUGAGAUAGCAAGAUCCAACAAUUUUGUUAACAAUUUAAGGCUAUGUGUAAUCGUUACUCGAGUUCUGUUCCGAACUAAUCCUAUUGAUGCCACAUUACUUCUUACUAUUGGAUAUGCAUAAUUUGUUGCUCUUUCUUUAUUUAAAUCUUUGAUUCAAUACUACUUGGUAGAUUUAAAAUUGUGUAAUUGAUGUGUUAUUUAAUGAUGUGUAAAUAAUAAAAUAUUUGAUGAUUUGUAAGUUGUCGUCAAUGUCGUUAAAGUUGUCAAGUUGUAAGAUGUUGAUUCAAAUUAUUUGAGUCAUAUAAGAUAUCUAAGUUGUUUAAGUUGUAAGACGUUGAGUCCAUGCAUACUCAUUUAAGUUGAGGGCUUGAUGCCCUAUAAGUUGAGGGCUUGAUGCCCUGUGAGCCUAUUUACGCUCAAUACGUUGGGGCUUGAUGCCCUAGUUGGUACCACAUGCAUGAUUAAAAGGUUGUAGUUGCAUUUUGUUGAGAUGGUUCAAGAUGUGUAAGAUGUCUAAGUUGCAUUGUCGAGUUGAAGUUGUGUCGUUGUUGUUAAGUUGUUAUUUACCCAUGUGUCGUUAAUGAAGUGAUUAUGAUGUUCAUUAUGAUGUUGUUAUGUUGUUUAUGAUGUGAAGUAUAUGAUGUUAUAAACUGAUGUUUAUGAUGUAAUGUUUAUGUUGUUUAUGUUGCUAUAUGACGUUGUGUAUAAUGUGAUGAUGAAUAUGAAGUUAAUGAUGAUUAGAAGUUGAUUAAGUUAUUAAUGAAGUAUUAUAAGAAGAGUAAUGUUAUUAAUUGAUGAAGUAUAAGUUGUUAAAUGCUUUUGAUGAAUUAUAUGCUUAUUAUUAUUGAAUGUGAAAUCUCACCCCUUCUGCUUGGAAAUGUUGCUCUUCAUAUGAAUAACUUGCAGGUGAUCGAGUUUAAGCUGCUGUUAGAUUGCUGUCGUGAGUGUACUAUCUCUCACGUGUGUCUUUAGGUGCUCUGAUACGUAACGGGAUGUGAACUUUGUUGCAUGCUUUUCUAUUCCUUAUGUAUUACUUUAUGAAGUUUAUGACUAAGUUUUUUGACUGGAUUUCUAUGAGAUAUUUAUGAUGAGGCCUUCGUGUCAAAGACUACUGUUUUUAGAUGUUGA
rnacentral:lncRNA from 1 species